AGGGUUGUCGCCAAGCGGUAAGGCAAAGGACUUUGACUCCUUUAUUCGUGGGUCCGAAUCCCGCCAGCCCUG
rnacentral:tRNA from 1 species